rnacentral:rRNA from 1 species
AAGACCUUGCACUUUUGGAGCGGCCGAUGUCUGAUUAGCUAGUUGGUGGGGUAAUGGCCUACCAAAGCUUCGAUCAGUAGCUGGUCUGAGAGGACGGCCAGCCACACUGGGACUGAGACACGGCCCAGACCCCUACGGGAGGCAGCAGUGGGGAAUUUUGGACAAUGGGCGCAAGCCUGAUCCAGCCAUGCCGCGUGAGUGAAGAAGGCCUUUGGGUUGUAAAGCUCUUUCAGCUGGAACGAAACGGUACGCCUUAAUACGGUGUGCUAAUGACGGUACCAGCAGAAGAAGCACCGGCUAACUACGUGCCAGCAGCCGCGGUAAUACGUAGGGUGCAAGCGUUAAUCGGAAUUACUGGGCGUAAAGGGUGCGCAGGCGGCUCUGUAAGUCAGAUGUGAAAUCCCCGGGCUUAACCUGGGAAUU